rnacentral:rRNA from 1 species
GAUGAACGCUGGCGGCGUGCCUAAUACAUGCAAGUCGAGCGAACAGACGAGGAGCUUGCUCCUUUGACGUUAGCGGCGGACGGGUGAGUAACACGUGGGUAACCUACCUAUAAGACUGGGAUAACUUCGGGAAACCGGAGCUAAUACCGGAUAAUAUUUCGAACCGCAUGGUUCGAUAGUGAAAGAUGGCUUUGCUAUCACUUAUAGAUGGACCUGCGCCGUAUUAGCUAGUUGGUAAGGUAACGGCUUACCAAGGCAACGAUACGUAGCCGACCUGAGAGGGUGAUCGGCCACACUGGAACUGAGACACGGUCCAGACUCCUACGGGAGGCAGCAGUAGGGAAACUUCCGCAAUGGGCGAAAGCCUGACGGAGCAACGCCGCGUGAGUGAUGAAGGUCUUCGGAUCGUAAAACUCUGUUAUUAGGGAAGAACAAACGUGUAAGUAACUGUGCACGUCUUGACGGUACCUAAUCAGAAAGCCACGGCUAACUACGUG